AAAAAAUUUUUUUUUUCUUUCAAGAUGAGGCUCCCAAGAAGGGCUCAUGGAAGAAAAACUUCCUUGAUCAUCUUCUAAGGUUUGAAACAACAGCACAGGUAGAAGUAUGGAAUAAAUGAAACAUCACUUGAAGCAAAGAAAAUGUAGCCUGUAGCUAUCCACUCAUUUUCCAGAUGUCUACACUCCACAUAUGGUAGGAUUAUGGAAUACCAGCAUAUCAAGAGAGAAGCAACUUAGUGAUACCAACAGGGGAAGCAAGUUUGGAUUGGGAUGUAUUCCAAACAAUCUCUGACAGCAG
rnacentral:lncRNA from 1 species